rnacentral:rRNA from 1 species
UGAACGCUGGCGGCGUGCCUAAUACAUGCAAGUCGCGCGAACAGACGAGGAGCUUGCUCCUUUGACGUUAGCGGCGGACGGGUGAGUAACACGUGGAUAACCUACCUAUAAGACUGGGAUAACUUCGGGAAACCGGAGCUAAUACCGGAUAACAUGUUGAACCGCAUGGUUCACCAGUGAAAGACGGUCUUGCUGUCACUUAUAGAUGGAUCCGCGCCGCAUUAGCUAGUUGGUAAGGUAACGGCUUACCAAGGCAACGAUGCGUAGCCGACCUGAGAGGGUGAUCGGCCACACUGGAACUGAGACACGGUCCAGACUCCUACGGGAGGCAGCAGUAGGGAAUCUUCCGCAAUGGGCGAAAGCCUGACGGAGCAACGCCGCGUGAGUGAAGAAGGUCUUCGGAUCGUAAAACUCUGUUAUUAGGGAAGAACAAAUGUGUAAGUAACUAUGCACGUCUUGACGGUACCUAAUCAGAAAGCCACGGCUAACUACGUG